GAUGAACGCUGACAGAAUGCUUAACACAUGUAAGUCUUUGGCGAAUCUGUGCUUACACAGGCUAGCUAAGGCGGACGGGUGAGUAACUCGUCAAGAACUUUCCCUGCAGACAGGGAUAACAGACCGAAACGACUGAUAACACCUGAUACAGUUGCCGUCCCGCCUGUUCCUGGCAAUGAAAACAGCUGCUGCAGGGGAGCUUUGCGUCCUAUUAGCUUGUUGUUUAGGUGACGGCUCACCAAGGCGAUGGUAGGUAGCCGGCCUUAGAGGGUGGACGGCCACGAGGGGACUGAGACACGGCGCCUACUACUACGGGAGGCAGCAGUGGGGAAUAUUGGACGAUGGGGGCAAACAUGAUCCAGCAAUUCUGUGUGCACGAAGAAGGUUUUCGGAUUGUAAAGUGCUUUCAGCAGGGAAGAAGAAAGUGACGGUACCUGCAGAAGAAGCGACGGCUAAAUACGUG
rnacentral:rRNA from 1 species